rnacentral:lncRNA from 1 species
ACAAAUUAUAGCAGCCUGCAAGUUGUAGAAUGAAGAAAUGCAAAUGUAAAGUACUGAACUUUGUCAUGGAUGGAUUUACCAAAGAGAAUUACUCUGCAUAACAUGAAUAAUGGAGUUCAGAAGGAAGCCCAUAUCCCAGACUUCCUCGGUUGUGCUGUUUUACUGAGGUUGGGUGGAGUCAACACAUCAUGGAUAAAGAAGUCCCUAAAGGCAGUCCCAGGGAGCCCGCACUGAACAUCAAGAAGUCAGACAAAUCCUUCAAACGCAAGAAGCCCACCGAAAAUGUGCUGAUCUUUUUAAUCAACAGACAACUGGGCAGGCACAGAAGUGACAUCG